UCUAAUACCGGAUACUGAUCAUCUUGGGCAUCCUUGGUGAUCGAAAGCUCCGGCGGUGCAGGAUGAGCCCGCGGCCUAUCAGCUUGUUGGUGAGGUAAUGGCUCACCAAGGCGACGACGGG
rnacentral:rRNA from 6 species